CCGCACUGCUGGGAUGUGACAGAACGAACUGGCCAGAACAGGACCCAGCGGGAAAGGCAAGGCAUCGCCGGCGACGUCGCUGGGGACGUCGCCCGCUCCAGGACCAAGUAUCUCCUAUUCGAUUUUUUGGACUUUGAGGGAGACCUCUCCCUGUGAUUAGUCCCAGUCUGUUUGUGUCGCCGCCCCACGCCUCCAGCUCCCGAGUGCCUUCGCCCGGUAGGUCCAAGCCCUCAUCCUCUAAUCCUUUUUUGGGAACCCGCUUGGCCAUCUACCCGGGUCGUCCACGUGGCAGCCAGAAGAGAUGCCCAAGCAGGGUGCCCCUUGUGCAUCCCACUGUGUGCCAACCAGACACUGCCAUCGUCCAUCCACGACUUGUUGGCAUCGAUCCAAGCCAGCGGAACAAGAGCUGAUGGUGAAACUUCCAGUCCAAAGGGAGAAGUGGUCCGCAACUCCCGAGGUGCAGCGACUCGAGGAUCACAAGAUCUUCUAUCACAAAAUGCAGGGAAAAAUAGAGCAGCGUAGUGCCGAACCUAAGGUCCUCACAGACCAUGCCAUGGUUGCUACAGACUUGCUGCUGACCCAUGCUUAAGUAGCGGUGGCAACUGACUCGCUACCGAGCCAGAUCCACGACGCAGUGGCACCCAACCUGUUACCGAGCCAGAUCCAUGUCGCGGUGGCAACUGACCUGCUACUGAGCCAGGUCCACGUCGAGGUGGUGACCGACCCACUGCCGAGCCAAGUCCACGUUGUGGUAGCCACAGAUCUACUACCAAGCCAAGACACGGCCGAGACAUCGCAGUGGUGACCGACCCACUGCCAGUGCCGUGCCUCGUCCAUUUCACGAUCGUAACAGACCCGCUGCCACGAUAUACCCACGUCACGGUGGCGACAGACGUCCUGACAAAUCAUGCUCAUGCCACAGUCGCUACCGACCCGUAUCCGAACCUAGUUCCGUCACAGGUGGAAACAGACCCGUGCCAAGCCACACCCACGUUGUAGUGGCGACAGACGUCCGGGUGAGCGUCAAAGUAAAAUGGCGGACAUAGCGAACAAAGACAAGCAUGCCAUAGUAUCUCCAGGGUUUGUUUUCCAAUAAUAUAAAACUCUUAAGUGAUGUGCAGAGGAUGGAGAAGAUUCUGAUAAACACGAGACCAACUACUUUCCUACAGUGAAAAGGCAGAGGACUUUAUCAUUCCCGUUGCUCCAUUCUGUUCCAAAGAACAAUGUAUUCAUUCCCCCCAGUUUCUCCCACCAAGAACUCUGACUCUGAGCCAGAUGAGAAGUCAGUCGGGUUCCAACUAAAGCCACCAAAUAUCAUUCAUGGGCAAGCGCCCAGUUCAGGUAUGCCAAGUCAGAAACCGAAAGAGCAACAAUGCAGCAUCGGCGGCCUGCGGUUCUUCAGGCGUCACCCUCCAAAUCCCACGCUCCUGUUCAGGCAGCGGCCGACUUUGCGGCCGCCUCCCACUCCUGUCCCGGGGGCGGCAACGACUCCUCGGCCACCCCACGCUCCUGUUCAGGCAACGUCGAUGACUCUGCCUCCCGCUCCUGACCUGGUGGAGGCGACAGGUGUGCGGCAGCCUCACAUUCCUGUCCAGGCAGCGCGAAGGCUCGUCGCCCACCUCAUGUUCCUGUCCAGCCAGUGGCAGCGAAGGCUCGUCACCCGCCGCACGUUCCUGUCCAGGGGGCAACAGUGCCCGCCUCCCUCUCCUGCUUCGAUGGCGAUCGGUCGCGGACGUCUGAUGACCACGCUUCAAGGGCGACCGAUUCACGGCCAUCUGAGGAUCACGCCACGGUGGCGAACGGUCCCCGGCUGCCUCCCGACCUAGCCCCGGUGGCGACCGAACUGCAUCCGCUUCAUGACCAAGCCUUGGUGGCGACCAGUCCCCGGCCGCCUGCCAACCUCACCUCGGCGGCGACCGAUCCACGGCCACCUAAUGACCGAGCCUUGACGGUGACCAAUCCCCGACUGCCUCACAACCACAUCCUGGAAGGUCUUCGUCUGGAGCCAUCGCCUGCUCCCAUCUGGCGUCCUGGCCGACCUCCUGACCUGCUCGGCCGGACACCUCGCUUUGUGUGGCCUGGACGGGCACCAAACAAACUGGGGUUGGGAGCGUUAGUGCCCACCCCGGGCCCUCUUCCACCCUCACCUGGUCAUGUUUUUUGUUCAGUUUUUUGAUUUUGUCGCAUCUGGGAUCUGCACAUUAAGUGGUUGGGGGUUCUGUCAUGAGCAAGGUUUGGCCACUGCCAAGAGGGGCGUGGCCAGGCCACUGCUCUGGGUGGUGACACCUGUCACCGGUCUCAGCUGUUUCACAUUCGGACUGUAUUUAGACAGGCAUUUAAGAUGGAGUUUUUGUCACUAUUAUUUGCCAGUUCGUCGGUUUGUGUUAGUGAGUAUGCAUCACCAUAUCCCGGGUUACUCUGCCACUUAGAUGCAUAGUCAUCGAACCCUAUUUCUCGUUUUUUGGAUCCUCCAUUGUUGGACUGUGUAAUUGUGCAUCUCUUCAGUUAAGAAUGAAAUUGACUGAGCAUUAUGCCUUUGCCUGGGUGUCCUGCAUUUGGAUCCACCUCCACACCACUGGGAUGUGAUACCAAUUAGUCUCCCAAGAUUAAGGGACUGGUAUGUUGAAGGGUUAAAUCAGGUGGCUGGUUUCCCCAGCAAAUCAGUCUUAUUUAUAGACAACAGUUAGUAAAAAAAAACAUAAAGAUGGAGACAGACAGACAGACGGACGGACGGACAGAAGAUCAACAUCAAUGCAAACAGCAAAAGAGACAGAGCAAAGAUAACGAAGCUGCAAACGAUAGUGACAACAAGCAGCUGUGCAGAGAACACAUCUGAUGACACUGAAGGGAACAAUAAAUGCAGUUUUGUGAUAUUCUUUGGAAGAUUAUUUGUGGAUAAAAUGUAAAUAUAGGAACAUCCUGCCUUAUGCAUCAAUCAUCCUAGACCAUCUUUUGUUCCUUUUUUAUUCCAGAUGAAGGAUUACGGACAAAAAAAACAUGACAAAAAUUGUGUUUGGGGUUCUUCUCGAGCGGCAGCUCCAUUGACUAAUUCAAUCAUGAUAAAUCCCUUAAUUUGUACUCAAUGGACAGUAGUCCUUGUAACAGAAAAUAUCAACGUAUUGGAUAUCACCUUCUACAAUAUUCUUGUAUCAGAUAUCAUUUUCAUGCUUUAC